rnacentral:rRNA from 1 species
UACGGAGGGUGCAAGCGUUAUCCGGAUUUACUGGGUUUAAAGGGUGUGUAGGCGGACUUUUAAGUCAGCGGUGAAAUCUCCGGGCUCAACCCGGAAACUGCCAUUGAUACUAUUGGUCUUGAAUGUUGUUGAGGUGGGCGGAACGGGUCAUGUAGCGGUGAAAUGCAUAGAUAUCAGGAGGAACACCUAUUGCGAAGGCAGCUCGCUGGGACGUAACUGACGCUGAGACGCGAAAGCGUGGGGAGCAAACAGG